GCGGCGGCUCCCGCCCGCCCCGGCGGGAGCGGCGGUGUCUGUAACCCCUGCGAGCCCGCUCGGGACAGCCACACACAGCGCUCACGGAACGCGCGGCCCCCGCCGCUGCCGGGCUUCGGGCAAUGCUUGUUGCUCCCGUGGCAGUGCCGAGCUCCACGGACAAAUCCCGAUCUCCUCAUGCGGGGGGGAAAAAAAGCUCUGACGAGCCUCCUGAUCCAGCUACCGGGCGAACGAUGGACUCGUUACGGACCAACAGGAAGGAAAACCCACCGGUUAUCACUCAGAGUGGCAUCGCGACCCUUUCUGUCCGUUUUAUCCAUUUCAUUUCCAUCUUUUGCAUUUCAAACAAACCGAGAAGCAAAAUUUAAGCUGCUCUAACGAGACUUGCUGGCAAGUCCGUACAUCGCCCGAUGAAGGAAGGACAGCCAUGUCCCCCAGCUCCUGCAGCCAGACACAAGGAAUUCGGAUCAGGAGUGUUGACAAGUGAGGUACUGGUAUCCACUGCAGCUUCAAUUCCUGUAGCAUCUGAUCACCACAGGCUGAAGCCACAUGACAUCUACUGGAAACCAGAGGUAUGGCCAUAACAUGAAGCUACAAUCGGAUGAGCAUCAGAUUCCGUGCCCUACGGUACACAGGCAUCUGCACAGCAUCUGACAGCUUUACAGGAGUGUGACAGCCUUGCAUACACAUAAUGCUCUAUGUAUACCUACAAUAAGAUUCCUGUGAAAUGCAUGUUAUAAUUACAGUUUCAACAUACGCUAAGAGUUACGAAGGGAGACUGGGCACUAACAAAAUCAGUCACCUAAACUACAGCCUAUUAACAGCAAUGGGAAUUAUCACACAGACAACAACGGUAUUUAAAUCUAGCUCACUUUUUUCUCACAGUACCUUAUAAGGCACAAAGGUACCAUUCAAAUACAUUCCAAAUGCCAGAAACCUUAUAUUAGGCCUGUGGAGAAAAGCAGAUGUAAAGUGUAUAUAUAUAAAUAGGGGAAGAGUUUUGGGUUGAGGAUUGGAAUUUGUUUUCUUAAAAAUGAGCAAGUGUACAGGUGCAGUAGUCCUUCAAGAGUUAAAUCAUAAAACAGACCACCUUAACACAAUGCUUAGUCACAACAGUGGUUCGGCCAUUAAGCAUUCUGCUUUUGACUAUUUAAUUACCACAGAAGUUAAAAUCCUUUAAAAAAAUCAGUGAUAUAUCAUCCCAUUUUUAGGACACUAUCAGGAAAGAUCUAAAUCAGAUUAUAUAAAGUAGCGCAUGCUUCUCAGUAAAUAUGUAAAAAAAUGGAGGUCUUACAGAGAAAAUAUUUGAGAUGGCUCAUUUCUUUGCUGUCUGAGGUCCCAUAUUUUUAACUGUCCAAUUGAAUUUACUGUCAAGAUCUCAGUUGUGCGAAGGAAAGUCACUGCAUGGAGUGUACUGCUGUCCGCAUUGUCUGCAAGAGAUGAGAAAACCAUUCAGGUAAACCUAUGGAAUGCUAAUCUCCAUUUAAUUACAACAAAAUAACUCUUUAUAGAAAACAGAAACAUGCUUACAACCUCUGCAUUUUCAGCAUCAGGGACAGAUCAGUAUCUGCAAAUACUCGGUGAAAAAGGAGCCCUUGCUUCCUAUAUCAAACACUUCUGAGACAAAUCUGUAAGAAGCUGUGUUUAAUUAGCUUUGGUGCUUAGAGAACUACUUGUUCAUCCAUAAAAUUUCUUUUUGCAGUUCCUUCAAGAGGAAUCAAUUCAGCCAAGUUUAUGGUUUUCAAAAGUUUUCUUUAUAUGUCCAGCACCUACUGACAGGAGACAACUAUGGAGCUUUUUAUAAUGAAGUUCUUCUGAACACAAGGAACAGUACUCUGACUGGGAACUUUAAGCAGCUGUGUGCAGAAACACUUAAUUCACCGACUUUUAGACCUUUUUCUAAGAACUGUCACUGUGAUAUCAAGUUAAACCAGAGUUAUGCUGUGCUUGUUAAUAAGUAAAUGGCAAAGCUCUAUUUUUUCCAGGUCCUUUUCUCCAGUGCUUCUUCUGGUCAGCGUAAUUUAAAAUGUUAAACAAUUCACAGCAUUGAGGUGAAACUUUUGAGGCCUUAGGAGAAAAUGUGGACACCAUUUUCUUUUAAUUCUGUUACUAUAUAGAAAGCUUUCAUCUUGAUUAUGAUGGGGUAACAUUGUUAAGUCUACUUUCACCUCAAAUAUUUUAAAAUUCUUUGUGUAAGUCCAUACAAAAAGAAACUAUAGGUGAAUUAUUAUGUUUCUGAAUAAGACAGAUGCCUGAUUACAGAUUUAGCAGUGAUCCAUUUUUAUGGCUCCAAAAGAUUUUUACUGAAUCUCUAACUUCAGAGAUUUUUUCCUACCAUAAUUGACUACAAACCUAUCAACUUUGUAUUAUACUCUUAAAUCCAUUAAACAAUAACAAAAAUAUCAAAGUAUUCCCUUCCGUAUAUUGAAUGAGGUACAAGAGUUCUAUCAGCUCAGUGCCUGUGAAAUAUCAAGGUGUCAUUGAACUGGGAACCAGUAUGAGAGACUGCUUACACCGAAGAACUCCAUGCUGAAGAACCUGAGAGCAUCUUCCCAGGUGUUCUCUCUCCAACUUUUACUGUAAAACCAUCCCUAAUAUGUAAGUUUGUGCGUGUCCUUUCCACCUAACUCCACAUAAGGUUCACUUACGCAUCAUUGGUUUGAUAGACUUAUUUAGGUACCAUUCCUAUUUUAAUGUUUCCCUUCCCGUUUUCAAAAGGACAUUUCUGAGUUAACCCACAUGUGAUUUCUUGAAUGUUUACAUGCCAGCAGAUCUAAAUGCAAUCCUUCCUGCAGCGUAACACUGGAUGAAGCUAUCACUACAAAGUAAGCAUUUUCAAGUAGUACUAUGAAGUGAGGACCAAGAAAACUAACAACUUGCAUCCUACACAUUAUUAAAUCUAUAGGUAAGCAUCCGAGAAAAUUGCCCGGAGAAAAAUAAUUUUGGGUUUCUUGAUAUUUGCUUCAUGAGAAUUCACAAAACAUUCUAGUCUAUUAAACUUGUACCAGCACAUUCUGCGUUGGUAUCUGUGCAUAAGUAAAAAUUUUACAAUAAAAUAAUCCUUUUAAAUUAGUUAAUGUCUUUGCCCCUCAAAAAAUCAUAGAAUCACAGAAUCAUUAAGGUUGGAAAAGACAUCUAAGAUCGAAUACAACCUUUGACCAAACAGCACCAUAUCAAUGAGACCAUGGCACUAAGUGCCAUGUCUAGACAUUUCUUGAAUGUUUCCAAGGAUGGUGACUCCAUCACCUCCCUGGCCAGCCUGUUCCAGUAUUUCCUAUGAAGAAAUUCUUCCUGAUGUCCAACCUGAACCUCCCCUGGCACAGCUUUAAACUAUGUCCUCUUGUCCUGUCACCUGAGAGAAGAGGCUGACCCCCACCUGGCCACAACCUCCUUUCAGGCGGUAGUAGAGUGAUAAGAUCUCCCCUGAGAUUGUUACUGUGUUUUGUGUGUACCUGAUAAAAAAAUAUGGCUCAUGCCUU